UCUUUGACCGCAGUCAAGACUGGUUCUAGGCUAUGUGAUGUCUAAAGGUGAUCGCUUUUACGAUGUUAACUGCGUCGUAAAAUUAAAGAGCACUCACUGCGACAUCCUUCUCACUGAAAGUGAUAAGGUGAGUCUUUAUUCCGUGAGAAUUUGAAUGCAUUUAACGAAAGUGCGUUAUUAUGUUAUGUUAUUUCAUAAAAGUUAAAUCCUAUUUAGAGGAUUACAAAAAGUAUAAUAUCUGAAAAGUGUACUGGUGUAAUGAAAUGCAAACUGAUUCUGUUUCUUAUCGGAUUAUAUAAAAGGACUUUAAGCUUUGCACGAUAACAUGCUCAUGCUAGUUAGUUAAAUCACUACAUCAAGCAUAAGGGCUCAAUCUUACAGCUUUUUGCCUGUCGCUUGAACUCUAAGAGCGUGCAUAUGAGUGUGUCUCAGUACGUUUGUGUGUGUAUCAAGCAAAGUGUGUGUAAGUAUCAAACCGAAGCCCAAGAAGUAUGUACUCACCUUUCAUAUUUGGAGGAUAAAAAGCUCUAACGUGUACAGCGGAGAAAGAAAAAGAAAAAAGGCUUCAACGUUUUGCAGAACGGUUUCAUUUGACGCGUUAAGGAAGGUUGGGGUAUAUGUUCAAAAGAAAAGCCUUCUUUUACACACAUAGACAAUAAAGGCGCCAAAAGACCAGCCUGGUGGGCUGCUACUACAGCUCGAGCCAUCAUACCCGCAAGCGUUUCAUGACACGAGUGGAGCACAACACUUCACAACAAGUUCGUUUAUCCAAUGCGUAAGAAAGUUACUAAAUUCAUCAAACAAGGUCCCUCUACACACUCUAUUUCGAGAAAGUUAUCCAUGAGGCGGACAUCGACGAAAAUGUGGAAAUCAAUCACAACUUUCUUAACGGCACCGCAAAGACGCACGGUGGGGCGUCCGAUGUACGAUACAAAAUCUCGAGCGGUAACGUAGGCAAUGUGUUUUAGAUACGCAACACAACAGGCGCCCUGUACGUGGCCAAGGCGUUAGAUUAUGAGAUGAUCAAAAAGUAUGAGCCACGGUUGACGGUCCCGGAUAAUUUUAAGGAGAACUACACCACCGUUCUGAUCAACGUACGAGAUGUAAACGACAAUCCACCGGUGUUUGAGAAAUCGUCAUAUCGCACACAAAUCAUCGUGGAAGUUGACUGAGGUCUGCCGAAGCGUGUGCUGCGGGUUACCGUUUUGGAUUCCGACGUGGAGCGGCCGAACAGCAUCAUGUACUUCCUGACUGGGCCCGGUGUUCACAAAGAAAAUCCCUCCGACAGCAACUUUGACAUCAACAAGUCCACGGGGCAGGGGCGGAUUAAGCACUACGUAAACUAAGCUCGCUAGCCUCGCUGGUAAAUUGGUUUCUAAUCGUUUUUCUUGCCAAUAAAACCUCAUACAGCGUCUCGCUCAAUAGUUCAGAAAGGCUUACAUGUGCGACCGCUUAGGGCCUCCACUCGUGUUAAUCCGCCACUGCCACGGGGGAAAUAUUUGUGAUUAAGGUAGGUCAGCAUUUGAUACUCGGAAGCGUAAGUUGACUGCCAGUGACGAAAAACAAAGCAAAAGUACUGCAGUUAACUGUGACGAUGGAAUGAAACGGAAAUAAAAAAGAGAACUGCAGCAACACCGCACUGCAGAUAACAUUGAAAUGAAAUGGAGGAACCCUGUUAUGUUCGUACGGUUGAUAAUAUUCGACCAGAGCAGUGCAAAAGUUCACGGCACAACCUUGUCGCCAUCUAAAUGACCGAAGGAAUAUGAUGACCGUUUUAUUUAAGAAUUGUUUGAGCGUUGGAAGUCUUUGCAGCCAUUUUCUACUCCCAAUAAAGAGCAGGUUAAGUUUCCGUUGCAGGAACUUAAACGUCAGGAGAAACAAAAGAUAAUGUGCCUCUCCUGUGCGAUGCAGCCUUGGCCCAAUAGAGAAACUUUUCGAUGGUGAAACUAGAUUCUGGUCUGUUGUACAGUUUUGAAUAACUUCCAACUUGUGCCAUGUGUUGGGUCUGAAAAUGAUUCGUGUGGGAAUAGAAGUAUAUUCCAUCGUUCUUGGUAUGCUGGACACGAGUUUUUCCUUGAAGUAAAUAGAAAAAUUUAAUUAAAUCAAGCAAUUGUGUAAACUUUCUCUUGCCGCAAAAGCGCAAACAAAGAACAAAACCAAAGUAUUUCUUAGGCUUUAUUAAAUGAAACACAAUUUCAUUUCAAAAUCUUUAAUGCAACCAAAGUAUUCACAUCUAAUAAGAUUAAACCUCAUUAUUUUUUCUUCCUCUCUUGCCUAUCGUCCACCUUUCACACCUGAUCCCGAGAAUGUGUAGCCCCUGAAUCAACCUGAAAGACGUCAACGACAAUGCGCCUUAGUUCCCAAACGGAAUUGCGUACGGCAACGUGACCAAAAAUGGUAUCAUCGGCAUGUACGUGAUGACAAUAAAUGCCAAGGACUAUGACGAUAUCAACGAAGGAACUAACGCGAAGGUGAUUUCGAGAACGCGAGAAGAACGCGAUCGAGGAGGAUACUGAUUUGCCGAUCUUCGACGUCAUUCCGGAUACGGGGCUCAUCAUGACGGCGGUAUGCUGUCUCGAUCGGCAGAAGACGCCCGACUACUCGCUGCAGAUAGUGGCCACCGAUGGCGGAGGUUUUAAAGGUACGGGGACAGCUUCCAUCAAGGUAAAGGAUCUGAAUAAUAUGCCGCCUCAGUUCACCAAGGACGAGUGGUUCGUCGAGGUUGAGGAAAUCGAUGGUAGUGUGCUAUCCGAGGCACCGAUACUGACCGUGGCGUUGAAUGAUGAUGAUGAGAUAAAUAAUUUCUAGUAUAAAAUCAUUGAAAACAGCGGCUACGGGGCGGAUAAGUUCGCGAUGGUAAAAAACGCGGAUAGUACGGAGAGUUUGAAAGCCACUCGACUACGAGAAUCCGAUGUAGAUAAAUCGCUUUCGCUUUUGGACGCAAGGGAUCUUCCAAACAGCUCUCCGACUUUAUCGCACUCGAGCUGGAGCCUCCUUCCACACGCAACAUGUUUGUUUAUUUUUCAUGCUCCCGGUGUCGUUCAGCAAACUUCAACAAGAAGCCGGCCACCAAGGACGACAUCCGCGAGAACAUCAUCAACUACUGCGACGAGGGUGGCGGCGUGAAUGACAUGACCGCGUUCGACAUGAAGACGCUCAUGAUCCCGAUCGAUCCGCUGUCAGAGCUCGUUCAACAUAAUGCACCACGAGUACGAAAGUAGUAUGUUUUGUUUGCAAGUGCCGUUUUGGAGGCUGUGCGCCAAGCACGAGAAUGCAUUGCCCUCUCUAGUAUCUUCCAAAUACUUGUAACUUGUGUUUUCAAUCAAGUAGGAAGAAUGUUUCUAAAACUAGAAACGAUGAUGCGGGAAAAGGUCGGUGGGGACUUUAACGGCAAGCAAAGUAAGUAAUAAGCAACAGUUGGCUCGACUCCAUUCUCGACAAACCCUUAAAAGUCGUAAAAGCAUGCGGGAAGAAUGGACUUGUAAAUAUAAGAGUUUAAUAAAAAAAAAAAAAACUAUAAAAUAAAAACAAUUCUGGACACAAGCGCGUUGCAUUCUUUUUUAAGUCUUUCUGAGAAUGAGAGAAAAAUGCUCAUGAUAAGUCACAUGUAAAAGGUAAUAUGAUCAACAUGUGCAUUUAAAAUAAUUUGAAUUCUCCUGAAUGCAAUUAAAAUAAUACGAUUUCAAUGGUAUGCAUAAGUAUGAAACACGGGUAGUCCAUUUCCAGAUGGAUUAAUUACAUCAUCAAACAACGUUUUCAUAAUUUUUCCAUUCCUUUUACUUUUAAUACUGCUUCUUUAGCACGUGUUUUUAUUUUGUAAUUAUACUCAAUGCUGAAUUUUAAAAUAAACUCAUGCGGUUUCACGAAAUGUUCUUCAAAGAAAAAAAAAAGGUUUACAAAUGCAUCAUAAAAGGGCUAAACGUUUUAGUUAUUCUACUUGCGAUUUCAUUCAAUGCUCAGGAAGCAACCAUUAGUUAUGUGUUUUAUUGUUGUAUGUACUAAGCGAAUUAAAUCAUUGCACCGUGGAAGGAUCCACCGUCACCCAGAAGACUAUUGGCACAAAACACUAGACAUAAUACAAUGUACGCUUUAUUGUGCCUGCAAUCUUCUUUAGUUCAUCAUUGUACAGUUUUACAAUCAGCAUAACCAAUGAAGAAUCCAAUAAACAAAAAUUCUGUAUAAAUUUUACGAUAACCAAUACCGCUAAGCCAUUUCCAACCAGGGUCUAUAACAGGAAUGACAAAUUUUGUCUGAGCCCGAAGCCGGGCAUUGCCAGACACUUGUUCUCAAAAUUUUAAAAGAAACUAUAAAACUCCAUGGACAAGGGAUUUCAGGAAGCGAGACGUCUGCAUGGGACCGUUUUCUUUGUCGAUUCGGCAGAUCCUAGCUUUUCAACGAUGUCCACUUGGAUGGUCAUGCUAUUCAACCGACUUUCCGAUCAAAUAAUCAGGCUUCGUUACUGGUAAUUGCUCGAUGCACUAAAUUUUUAUGAAAAUUUGUGUUCCUUCUUUGUUGAGUUAAAUUAACUUUUACUAGUGGUAAAGGAUUUGGAGAUUGUAAUUGGCAGGAUGAAAGCUUGUAGAUUGUAAAGAAUUUUUAUUAAACAUACUCAAUUAAACGUAGAAUGGUCAUGUUUUAAAUUGAGUUUUCAUAGUUUUGUGUUUUAUAUGUAGUGUACUUGCGUGCAUUUAUGGUAUCAAAUUUAUAUUUCUUUAAUUAUUACUUUCUUUGCUGAAUAGUUUCUAUCCGCAAAUGUAAGAUGUAAAAAUGUAAAGUAAAAUUUUGGGCAAUUGCUAUUGUGUCAUUAGGGAAAGUGAGUCAUUUACCAUUACCACGUUUUUUUCCAUUUUAACUCAAAUCUUUGUCGUUUUAUAUCGAUCGAAGCUCAGUCGAUUUUGUCUCGAAGCUGUGAAAGAUUUUUACAGCCCUUGGUAAAUCGUAUAAUAUUAAUAAUCUCGGAAGAAUCAAUUGGUGCUUUCAACGCCAUAACAAACGUAAUAAUACAACUUUAUUAUAUUUGAAGCAAUACCCUUUGGUAACAUUUUUAUGCCAAAAACCUUUUUAUUAACCAGCAGAAAAGUCAGUCCUGCGUGUUGGCUGCUUAGUUCCUAUAAAGUUUGAACCCACGAAAAGAUCUCCAACAAAAACAGAAUCUUAAGCUCUUGUAAUAGCUUAGUUAUAAAAUACUUUUUCCACGCACAUCAUCUAUUUAGGUAAAUAAAAAAUAACGAUGUAAAAUAAACAAUUGCAGGUGAAGGCGCGUGGUUUCUCAUUUGCUAUACACAUCAUUACACCGGAUCUAGAGAGGGCCAUCGCUAAGCCACCGCAGCUUAGGCAUGUUUCUGCAAUCCAAACUGUGAAACGUGCACGGAAUACUAAUCUCCCGACAGUAUACCGCUUUCACCGCGCCUAUAACAAAAUAUUAGCCCCAAUACAGCCAUCUUACAGCCACUUCAUCAGUUUGGCUAGGUGCCUUCUGUACAGGCGCUGGAAGCAUCUACCGACGAUAGGUAGAGCACCAUUUUAUCACACUCUUACAUCAAUUUCUGUUCAGCUGCAAGAGACAAAACUUUCUCUUGAAGUGGUAAAAAUUGUUCUGCUUGACUUGCGCUUUCAAACAUCAAACAACAUCAUGCAUCGCGUUACAGAUUAGCAUUCGGGUAAUAAAGGUAGCCGUUUUUUUUGUUUUUUACUGUAAAAAAUCACGUGCCCGACUCAUAUGACGGAUUACCAGGGAUUUUCGUUUUCAGACCUUCCAGCGAACCAAAUGGUCUUGCUCAGAGCUUGUUCAGUACAUUUUAUAAGCUCAAUGCCUCAUUUUGUCACGUGUCUCAUUUGUGGCGUGGCAAGCAUUUACGCAAUUUUUCACGGAAUUCAGGUGGUUAUGUCUGGGAAACGUGGGAAGGAGAGCAUUUUAUUAAUUCAUUACUUAUUUAUGCAACUGCAACAGCAGUAUACGUGCCAGUGAACAGUGUAUACAAUUAAUGAAACUUUUUUCCCGUUUACUAAAAAAACGUGAAAUGAGUUUCAAAACUCAGCAUGCAUAACAGGUUUGCGAGUAUUUGCACCACCAGAUAAUAUUCACCAUAGCGUGAAUGCGAAAACAAUUUUGGAAGCAGGUGCUUCGUACACGUCGGUUUAACACAGAGGCCCUAUGGCGUUGCUGAAUGGCGUAGUAUGCUUACUAGUGAUGGGUGGGUCAACUUGGAGCGCUCCUUGUCGUAAUUUCGGUUCCAGUAGGUUCGGUAGCUAUAGAGCUAUAUAGAGUGCAUGCUCGCUAGUUACAACUGAACUCGUGUACACCCUUCUAACUUAUUAAGACUACUAAAUUCGUACAAACCUACAGAUCCUAAUGAACCUAUUGAACUUGUAUGAACCAACCAAACUCUAUAGAACCUAUCGAACUCGUCGCACCCAUGGGUCGCAAUCGCAUAUGCUUUGUUAAUCCUACUGAACGUACCGAAAUCGUUACACUCAUGGGUUAGAAUCGAUUCCGGUCUAGCUGCAACCAACUCCAAGUCGAUCCGUUAAUAGAUUCGUAUGACUCAGCACUAAUGCUUACCAUUUUAAGGUCGAACGGUGUUCAGCUUGUAGGUUAUUAGACACACUGUCUCAGAUGUGAAGUAACAAAUGUACAUCUUAAUGUGGUAAUGGUAUGUUAUAGCAUUUACGUUGUAUGGUUGUUUUCUAAAUGAAUGAACAAAAUAUGAUCUUGAUUUCUUAAUAUGAAACAAAAAAAACUUUAUUAUUUUAGUUUUCAUCAAGUAACCAACACUAGCGGGGUAACAAGGAUAAAACAUUUUUUUCAUUAAAACAGUCAAAUUUUAUUAAAUGAGGUUUGAUUUUAUUGUUAGAAAAUAUAUUAAUGCGAAUAGAAAAUUAUAACGAUGCCAUAACAGGUCGUUAAUAAAGUGAAUAAAAAUAAAUGUAUUCAAUAAUAUGUUCAAUAGGGUAAAAAAAUGUAACCCAAAAACAAAGUAUCACAUGCAUUAUCUCAACAUUAACAAAACCCAAGAUCUGUUCAUUAUGACCUUGUUUGAAAACAUUUUCACAUGUUGUGCCAGUUAUAUUUUUUAGUAAAAUAUCUUUAUACAAA